UACGUAGGGGGCAAGCGUUGUCCGGAUUCAUUGGGCGUAAAGAGCGUGUAGGCGGCCAGGUAGGUCGGUUGUGAAAACUGGAGGCUCAACCUUCAGAGGUCGACCGAAACCAUCUGGCUAGAGUCCGGGAGAGGAGAGUGGAAUUCCUGGUGCAGCGGUGAAAUGCGCAGAUAUCAAGAGGAACACCAGUGGCGAAGGCGAGUCCCUGGACAACACCUGACACUGAGGCACGAAAGCUAGGGGAGCAAACAGG
rnacentral:rRNA from 1 species